rnacentral:rRNA from 1 species
AGGACGAACGCUGGCGGCGUGCUUAACACAUGCAAGUCGAGCGGAAAGGCCCUUCGGGGUACUCGAGCGGCGAACGGGUGAGUAACACGUGAGCAAUCUGCCCUUAGCUUCGGGAUAGCUCCGGGAAACCGGAAUUAAUACCGAAUAUGACUGUGGUCGACAUCUGCCACGGUGGAAAGUUUUUCGGCUAGGGAUGAGCUCGCGGCCUAUCAGCUUGUUGGUGGGGUAAUGGCCUACCAAGGCGACGACGGGUAGCCGGCCUGAGAGGGCGACCGGCCACACUGGGACUGAGACACGGCCCAGACUCCUACGGGAGGCAGCAGUGGGGAAUAUUGCGCAAUGGGCGAAAGCCUGACGCAGCGACGCCGCGUGGGGGAUGAAGGCCUUCGGGUUGUAACCCCUUUCAGCAGGACGAAGCGAAAGUGACGGUACCUGCAGAAGAAGCGCCGGCUAACUACGCGCCAGCACGCCGC